UAAUAUUGUCCAUUCACCUAGGUAGAAAAAGGAAAAUGAAAAGAAAAGGAUGGAAACCUGGAGAAAAAAGAAGCAAACAAUUCGCACGGGCAGUAUCAAACGUAAAUUUCUCCCUUCCGCUGGCACAAAGCGCCGCCCAGAGGCGAGUAGCGCAGAAGCUGCGAUGACCGCCUGCGACCUGCCUCGUCGUCUCCUUCCCCGCAAGCGCCACCACCGUCGCCGGGCUCAAGGGCCGAGCGAGCGCGAAGCACGCCGCCUGUUUCCCUCGCACCGGGCUAAUCGCCGUCACAUCCUUGUAGAGUUGCAGGUUAAGCUCGAUGGCUCCUGGUUUCAGGUCAUAUGAUUGCCAUAUGAUUUGUAAGAUCAUUCACAUGGUUUGGGGGGAAAUCCCUCUGGUGUCCAGGGAACGAGAUCCUCUAAAGUCGGCAAAAACGACUUCCCUCUCCAGUCACGCAUCUGACCCGUUGCUUUCCUAUCCAACCAUCAGAUGUUCCAUCUCCUGUCUCACGGACGGUGCCCCAUUAGGCUUGCUGGGCCGGCCCAACAUCAGGGACGACGCGUACGUAUAUCUGCUAGUGGGGAACUGUAAGUUUCCUGGCGCGAAUAAUCGCUGCUUUGGCGCCGGACUCACAUUUUUGGCGCGAGCAGCGAACGUCGUGCGGCGGCGAUCGCGGAUCGACGAAGGCCGUGCGUCAGGCUCAGACCGGUAUAGAAGCUUGAAGGAAACAUCAACUCUCUUGCAUCAAAAUUAAAUCUGCAUACCGAAGAUGGAAGAAAAUAGGGAAGGCUUGAUUUCUAGUCUUUUACCUCAAGUUGGCAUGGAGUUCAAUACUAUAGAUGAGGCCUGGAUGUUUUGGAUUAGCUAUGGGGGUCAAAAAGGCUUUGAGGUGAGAAAAAUGUACACAAACAAAAGAA